rnacentral:rRNA from 1 species
AUGAGGAGCUUGCUCCUCUGAYGUUAGCGGCGGACGGGUGAGUAACACGUGGGUAACCUACCUAUAAGACUGGAAUAACUCCGGGAAACCGGGGCUAAUGCCGGAUAAUAUGCAGAACCGCAUGGUUCUGCAAUGAAAGACGGUUUUGCUGUCACUUAUAGAUGGACCCGCGCCGUAUUAGCUAGUUGGUAAGGUAACGGCUUACCAAGGCAACGAUACGUAGCCGACCUGAGAGGGUGAUCGGCCACACUGGAACUGAGACACGGUCCAGACUCCUACGGGAGGCAGCAGUAGGGAAUCUUCCGCAAUGGGCGAAAGCCUGACGGAGCAACGCCGCGUGAGUGAUGAAGGUCUUCGGAUCGUAAAACUCUGUUAUUA